AACGAACGCUGGCGGCAUGCCUAACACAUGCAAGUCGAACGAGACCUUCGGGUCUAGUUGCGCACGGGUGCGUAACGCGUGGGAACCUGCCCUUAGGUUCGGAAUAACUCCCCGACAGGGGUGCUAAUACCGGAUAAUGUCUUCUGACCAAAGAUUUAUCGCCUUUGUAUGGGCCCGCGUUGGAUUAGCUAGUGGGUAGGGUAAAAGCCUACCAAGGCUACGAUCCAUAGCUGGUCUGAGAGGAUGAUCAGCCACACUGGGACUGAGACACGGGCCAGAAUACUACGGGAGGGAGCAGUGGGGAAUAUUGGAAAAUGGGCGAAAGCCUGAACCAGCAAGGCCGCGUGAGUGAUGAAGGCCUUAGGGUUGUAAAGCUCUUUUACACGGGAUGAUAAUGACAGUACCGGGAGAAUAAGCACCGGCUAACUCCGUG
rnacentral:rRNA from 1 species